AGAUAUUUAUUUUUAAUAUAUAAAAUGAUAUAAAAUAACACUAAUACUAAUUAUCUCUAAUAACCCCAUCCCACUAAUCAAGGAAAUCCCCCCUAAUAAACUGAAUCCCACUAAUCAAGUGAAUCAUGAAUCCUCAUAUCUGGUGUCCUAUCAGAAGCUGCGAAGGCGGACGAUGUCGUUCAGUUCUACAAGGCCGCGUUUGGUGGAAGCUCUGUGCUCUGAACCCUAAGCCC
rnacentral:lncRNA from 1 species